GACGAACGCUGGCGGCGUGCUUAACACAUGCAAGUCGAACGGAAAGGCCCUGCUUUUGUGGGGUGCUCGAGUGGCGAACGGGUGAGUAACACGUGAGUAACCUGCCCUUGACUUUGGGAUAACUUCAGGAAACUGGGGCUAAUACCGGAUAGGAGCUCCUGCUGCAUGGUGGGGGUUGGAAAGUUUCGGCGGUUGGGGAUGGACUCGCGGCUUAUCAGCUUGUUGGUGGGGUAGUGGCUUACCAAGGCUUUGACGGGUAGCCGGCCUGGGAGGGUGACCGGCCACAUUGGGACUGAGGUAGGGCCCAGACUCCUACGGGACGCAGCAGUGGGGAAUAUUGCACAAUGGGCGGAAGCCUGAUGCAGCAACGCCGCGUGCGGGAUGACGGCCUUCGGGUUGUAAACCGCUUUCGCCUGUGACGAAGCGUGAGUGACGGUAAUGGGUAAAAAAGCACCGGCUAACUACGUG
rnacentral:rRNA from 1 species